rnacentral:sRNA from 1 species
UCCUUGCGAAUAAUGUCUUUGAGCUGGA